CAUGUCUUUUUGAUUAUAAUAUAAAGUCUGAUCUGCUCAAUGAGGAUUAAAUUGCCGCAGUAUUUUGACUGUGCAAAGGUAGCAUAAUAAUUAGUUUCUUGAUUAGGAAUUGGUAUGAAUGAUUGGACGAGAUAAUUUCUGUCUCUUAGUAAAGAUUUAUUGAAUUUUAUUUUUAAGUUAAAAAGCUUAAAUGUUCAUAAAAGACGAGAAGACCCUAUAGAGUUUUAUACUUAAAAUUGAUUGGGCAAUAGUAAGUUUUUUAGUUAUAAGUAUUUGAUUGGGGUGAUUAAGAGAUUUGAAAAAUUCUUUUUAUUUUAGUUGAUGAUUAUUAAUUUUUUGAUCUAAAUAUUUUAAAUUUAAAAUUAAUUACCUUAGGGAUAACAGCGUAAUUUUUCUUUAAAGUUCUUAUUGAAAGAAAAUUUUGCGACCUCGAUGUUGGAUUAAAAUAGAUUUUGGUGCAGUAACUUAAAAAUUAGGUCUGUUCGACCUUUAAUAUUUUACAUGAUCUGAGU
rnacentral:rRNA from 1 species